rnacentral:lncRNA from 1 species
GUGAUUUUCCUCUUCUCGCUCCGGCAGGCUGAUGAUGAUGCUGAUGGCAAUCUUCUUCCUCCGGAUCAUGGCAGGGUUGGAGCUGCAGCUCUCGUCAGACAGCGGGGCAUGGGGCCAUGCUGUAGACUGGUGGCCUGGCUGCGGAGCCACCGGCGCUGGUAGCUGCUGGCACAGCCACUGCUGAAGGAAGAGCCAGGUGAAGGCUGCGGGGUGGCCAGCAAACUGCUCAGAGAUGCUACACAAUGGAGAAGUGGAAUUUGAUUAACUGUAUAUUUACAUUAUAAUACCUCUCUUUUUCUUUUUUCAAUAGCUGUAAUAUAUAAUAUAGAGUGGUUUACAUUGAUUAAUAGCAGUAAUGACCAUGGCUACAGAUGUGACACCAAAAUCAAAUACUCUAUUAAAACUGAUCUGUGUCACACUAUACUAAACCCAAACUUAAUAAGCUGUAUCCUUCUAUCUCUCAUUUGUGUGAUAGAUGCAAAGGCACAGUCGCAACCUAUGGUCAUACACUUGAAGUCAGAAUUAUUAGCCCCCCUGAAUUAUUAAACCCCCUGUUUAUUUUUUUCCCCAAUUUCUGUUUAACGCAGAGAAGAUUUUUUUUUCAACACAUUUCUAAACAUAAUGGUUUUAAUAACCCAUUUCAAAUAACUGGUUUAUUUUAUCUUUGCCAUGAUAACAGUAAUUAAUAUUUGACUAGAUAUUUUUCAAGACACUUCUAUACAGCUUAAUGUGACAUUUAAAGCCUUAACUAGGUUAUUAGGUUAACUAGGCAGGAUAGGGUAAUUAGGCAAGUUAUUGUAUAAUGAUGGUUUGUUCUAUAGACUAUC